UGGUUGCACCAGCAUGUUGUUUGACUGAACUCCACUUGGUUUCUUUCUUCGCUCACACUCCUCUCCUGCCUACCUGGUUGCCUGCCUCAUGACAAAGCAAACACACAUUUUCAUGGACAACAAGAUUUUUGAAUAUUCGCAUGAACAUCGGUUGCCAAUUGGAUGGAAACCUAGCUACUGAAUAAAUGUGUUUGGCACAAGAUAAGGAAGAUGAAACAAUCUACUGCUGCAACCCAAGGCCAACAGAUACUGAAGUUCCUGAAAAGGCAAUCAGUUCCUACAGUGAGCGCCUGGGAACCAGCCUCUGUCAGAUGGAGACCAGGACAACACAAAGUUAAAUUUACACAAACUUUUUUACAAAGUUUACUGGGUAUAGUGUUAAAUGUAACCUUGCCUUGUUACAAAGUCUACUUUGUAUAGUGUUAAAUGUAACCUUGCCUUGUUACAAAGUCUACAGUGUAUAGUGUUAAAUGUAACCCUGCAUUGUUCCAAAGUCUACAUUGUACAGUGUUAAAUGUAACCCUGCCUUGUUACAAAGUCUACUGUGUAUAGAGUUAAAUGUAACCCUGCCUUACAUAAAGCUUACAGAAUUAAUAAUUGCAGAAGAGCACUGUGAUCUGAGGAACAAAUAAUAGGUUUUAUGAAAAAACAAAAAUACUUUUCAACAUUGAAACCUGUCUUGAAACCUGUCUGUCUGUCUUGUUUAUCAAGUCAACUGCUUAACAUUGUGUGUAUAGAGUGAAAUUAAUAUUUAAAGACAUUGUAACCAUUCUUUGGCAUAAUGCUCAGCCCUGCUAUAGUAGUUCACUAAACUACAGAGUAUGUUGUCCAUUGAAGUUGUCUGUAGCUCUUUUGAUAUCAGAUUCAGAAGGAAUAAUAACAAGUUUUGUGAUGGUUUGAUCCACCUUAGUCCAGGAGUGUUUCCAAUUCACAUGACCUGAUGAAAAGGGAAGCUAUCGAAAAUAAUAAUAUUUUGUCAUAGCCUACGAAUAGGAUGCAAAGUUUUACCUGACCAGGUCAUGAGGAAAAACUCCAGGCCCCUACCAGCUUUCUUAAAAUCAAAUUAACUGCACUUGAAUAUUGCCAUACAUUUAAAAAUCUAUUGAAAAUUAAACACACUAAAUGUGUGAUUAAUUUAAAUAAUUCCAUUCAAUUAAAAUAUGUUUGGCACAAUGGCUAUGGCUAUUAAUGGCUAUUUUUAUGCCUCACCAUA